UACGUAGGGGGCAAGCGUUGUCCGGAAUCAUUGGGCGUAAAGCGCGUGUAGGCGGUCCGAUAAGUCCGCUCUGAAAGCCCGGGGCUCAACCCCGGGAGGCGGGCGGAUACUGUCGGGCUAGAGUCCGGAAGAGGCAAGUGGAAUUCCUGGUGUAGCGGUGAAAUGCGCAGAUAUCAGGAGGAACACCGAUGGCGAAGGCAGCUUGCUGGGACGGUACUGACGCUGAGACGCGAAAGCGUGGGGAGCAAACAGG
rnacentral:rRNA from 1 species